rnacentral:rRNA from 1 species
GACGAACGCUGGCGGCGUGCCUAAUACAUGCAAGUCGAGCGGAAGUUGGAGAGCUUGCUCUUCAACUUUAGCGGCGGACGGGUGAGUAACACGUGGGCAACCUGCCCUGCAGAUCGGGAUAACUCCGGGAAACCGGUGCUAAUACCGAAUAGUUUUCGCCACCUCCUGGUGGCGUACGGAAAGACGGUUUCGGCUGUCACUGCAGGAUGGGCCCGCGGCGCAUUAGCUAGUUGGUGGGGUAACGGCCCUCCAAGGCGACGAUGCGUAGCCGACCUGCGAGGGUGAUCGGCCCCACUGGGACUGAGACACGGCCCAGACUCCCACGGGAGGCAGCAGUAGGGAAUCUUCCGCAAUGGACGAAAGUCUGACGGAGCACCGCCGCGUGAGUGACGAAGGUUUUCGGAUCGUAAAACUCUGUUGUGAGGGAAGAACAAGUACCACUUAACUACUGGUACCUUGACGGUACCUCACCAGAAAGCCACGGCUAACUACGUGCCAGCAGCCGCAGUAAUAC